CAGCAGCCACGGGAAUACGUAGGUGGCGAGCGUUGUCCGGAAUUAUUGGGCGUAAAGGGCUCGCAGGCGGUUUCUUAAGUCUGAUGUGAAAGCCCCCGGCUCAACCGGGGAGGGUCAUUGGAAACUGGGAAACUUGAGUGCAGAAGAGGAGAGUGGAAUUCCACGUGUAACGGUGAAAUGCGUAGAGAUGUGGAGGAACACCAGUGGCGAAGGCGACUCUCUGGUCUGUAACUGACGCUGAGGAGCGAAAGCGUGGGGAGCGAACAGGAUUAGAUACCCGAGUAGUCCCUGUCUCUUAUAA
rnacentral:rRNA from 1 species